AUGGCUCCGGCGAUCGCCGCAAAGCCUCUCCUAAGCGAUCUGGUGGCGCAAUCCAGGCAAGUCCCGUCGAGCCACAUCAGAGCGGUCGGAGACCGCCCGGACCUCGCCAAUGUCGACCACGAGUCCGGCGCCGGCAUUCCGCUCAUCGACCUGAAGCACCUCGACGGGCCGGGGCGUCGCGGGGUCGUCGAGGCCAUCGGCGCGGCGUGCGAGAACGACGGGUUUUUCAUGGUGACGAAUCACGGCAUCCCGGAGGCGGUCGUGGAGGGGAUGCUGCGCGUGGCGAGGGAGUUCUUCCACCUACCGGAGUCGGAGCGGCUCAAGUGCUACUCCGACGACCCCAAGAAGGCGAUCCGGCUGUCCACGAGCUUCAACGUGCGCACGGAGAAGGUGAGCAACUGGCGCGACUUCCUCCGCCUGCAUUGCUACCCGCUCGAGAGCUUCGUCGACCAGUGGCCCUCCAACCCGCCGGCCUUCAGGGAAGUAGUCGGCACCUACUCGACGGAGGCGAGAGCGCUGGCGCUGAGACUGCUGGAGGCGAUAUCGGAGAGCCUCGGGCUCGAGAGAGGCCACAUGGUGAAGGCCAUGGGGCGGCACGCGCAGCACAUGGCGGUGAACUACUACCCGCCGUGCCCGCAGCCGGAGCUGACGUACGGACUGCCGGGGCACAAGGACCCUAAUGCCGUCACGCUGCUCCUCCAGGACGGCGUGUCCGGGCUGCAGGUCCGGCGCGACGGCCGCUGGGUGGCCGUCAGCCCCGUUCCCGGCGCGCUGGUCAUCAAUAUCGGUGAUCAACUGCAGGCUCUGAGCAACGACCGAUACAAGAGCGUGCUCCACCGGGUGAUUGUGAACAGCGAGAGCGAGAGGAUCUCGGUGCCGACGUUCUACUGCCCGUCCCCGGACGCGGUGGUCGCGCCGGCGGAGGCGCUGGUGGACGGCGGCCACCCUCUGGCCUAUCGGCCCUUCACCUACCAGGAGUACUACGAGGAGUUCUGGAACAUGGGCCUCGAGUCCGCCAGCUGCCUCGACCGCUUCCGACCGAACGCAUGUUGGACUGUCCAACCGGCUGGCUGUGGGCAACAAAAUCUCACGGGCCACAAAUGUUGCUUGCUACCGAUGAUGUGUCGCCAUACGGGAAGGCCUCUGAAAGACGCCCGGAGCCGUCAGAUAUAG
rnacentral:rRNA from 1 species